GCCUUAGUACGGCGAGUGAGCGGCAAAAGCUCAAAUUUGAAAUCUGGUACCUUUGGUGCCCGAGUUGUAAUUUGGAGAGUACCACUUUGGGACUGUACUUUGCCUAUGUUCCUUGGAACAGGACGUCAUGGAGGGUGAGAAUCCCGUGUGGCGAGGGUGUCAGUUCUUUGUAAAGGGUGCUCGAAGAGUCGAGUUGUUUGGGAAUGCAGCUCUAAGUGGGUGGUAAAUUCCAUCUAAAGCUAAAUACAGGCGAGAGACCGAUAGCGAACAAGUACAGUGAUGGAAAGAUGAAAAGAACUUUGAAAAGAGAGUGAAAAAGUACGUGAAAUUGUUGAAAGGGAAGGGCAUUUGAUCAGACAUGGUGUUUUGCGCCCCUUGCCUCUCGUGGGCUUGGGACUCUCGCAGCUCACUGGGCCAGCAUCGGUUUUGGCGGCCGGAAAAAACCUAGGGAAUGUGGCUC
rnacentral:rRNA from 1 species